GAGAAAAUAUUCAGUGGUUGCUAAUCACCACGUCAUCUGCACGCGUGGCACGCGUGAUCCAUUAAAAUUGUGACACGUGUCGAGUUGACGUGGAAAUUAGAAGAAGGGAAAAUAAGAACUUUGCAGGCUUGUCAGGGGCGAUACUCUCUCCUCAUUAAUUACGCGACGCUCUCUCUCCUCUCUGCGUCUUUCUCCCUCGCUCUCUUUCUCUCUCCUCCUUUAUUUCAAAUUUCGCUCCAGACCCCUCCCUCCUCAUUCUCUCCUCUCCUCUCUGUCUCGCAAAAUCCGACGACCACCGCCAGACGCUCUCUUUCAGCUGUUGGGAAACGACGGAGGCUUGGUGGCGUUGGGGUCGGAGGGUUUUAUGGCACGAGCUUCCCUCUGAAGGGUCCGUCGGAGAGAAACAGACACGAAAUGUUGGUGCCUGUGCAGUAAUGGCACUAGCCAGACGACCCAAAAGAGAGGACGAAGUCGAACUCUCUGUUGACGUCGUCGCCAUUCUCCGUACUGGCACUAUCGUCUCUUUUGUUGCCCACUCGCCUUGCUUCCGUCUCUCCUAUUCCUCCUCCUCCUAUUCAGACGCUACCUCCGUCGAUUGAGAUGAUCAGNNN
rnacentral:lncRNA from 1 species